rnacentral:rRNA from 1 species
GUAGGUGGCAAGCGUUGUCCGGGAAUUAUUGGGGCGUAAAGCGCGCGCAGGCGGUUCUUUAAGUCUGAUGUGAAAGCCCACGGGCUCAACCGUGGAGGGUCAUUGGAAACUGGAGGACUUGAGUACAGAAGAGGAGAGCGGAAUUCCACGUGUAGCGGUGAAAUGCGUAGAGAUGUGGAGGAACACCAGUGGCGAAGGCGGCUUUCUGGUCUGUAACUGACGCUGAGGCGCGAAAGCGUGGGGAGCAAACAGGAUUAGAUACCCUGGUAGUCCACGCCGUAAACGAUGAGUGCUAAGUGUUAGGGGGUUUCCGCCCCUUAGUGCUGCAGCUAACGCAUUAAGCACUCCGCCUGGGGAGUACGGCCGCAAAGGCUG